AGUGUCCUGAAAUGACAAUAGUUUCUGUUACAGAAUUCCCAUCCCUCCUCCGCGUCUUUGCCUUGGAACAACUUGAAGUUCUGGAGUACACCGAGUCCCCCCGAAGUUCAGGUGCCUGCAAGGAGGCAGCAUGAGUGUUCCCAGGAACAGUAAAAUGCAGGCCCAGAGAGGUGAUGCUGUUUGAGAUCACACAAGCAAUAAUCUGGGAAUUCCCCUUCUACUGUCCCUCUUCAUGACAAGGGAGGUAACUGGAAGCUCUACUUUGCCCCUGAUUCAGCAGGUUAUUCUCACCCAGCACAGAGCUCAAGAGAAUCUCAAAGGUACUUUCCAAGCCUGAUAAGCAGGGCCCCUGCACUACUUUGCUUCCCUUUGAAACAAGAUGCCAGUUACUGGGCACAGUUAGUGACUCCUCCUUUUGGAAAUCAAGGUAACAGAGCUUUUCACAAUAUGUCUGGGGCUGUUCUUCUCUGUAAUGGUUGUGGGGAGGGAAGAAAAAUUGAAGUUUGAGACCAGUCCCUCUCUCCCCCAGAAAUAAAGUGUUUGUGCAAAGGCAUAUGUGAUCUACACUUGAAAAACCAGAUGAGAAGGUCACAUGGUGACAGCUAAAUAUGCUGGGCAGGCGGGAAGACCAGACAACACGGCAAACUUUUGGAGAGAAAAGACAGCCACAAAACUAAGAACUAAAAGUCAGCUGCCAGCAAGGCCAGGCACAUUCAGCUGGUCACACGGGUCCUACCUGAGCCAGGUGUCGAGGCUGGGAUUGAAUCUGUUAAAGAGAGAAUCACUCAGGCAACAGCGUGACAGAGCUGGCUGCUGCCAGCCCAAGGGCUGGGCACGUGGGCAGGUGCUGAGCUGCCCUCCUCCCCACAGCACUUGGGGCUUUUGGGUUUUGCUUUUGUUAAAAAACAAGUGACAGCUAAAACCACCUAACUACACUCAAGACAAAGAUAAGCAGGUACCACAAAAUUGCUUCCCUUUAUGUCCAGAAAAAAAAAAAAAAAAAGCAUGUCUCGUGCCCGUCCUGCCUUUGGGAGCAGCAGAGCACUGCCAGGGCUGGACUUACCAAGAGGUGCUGUUGGUUUUGCCUUCUUGGCUGGAGCAAUACCAUCUGUUUUGGACUCAGAGAAGGAGGCGGUUCUGCUCGGUGCGGGAGUCUGAAAGAUUCAGAAACCAAGUCAGUGAGGGACAGCGCCAGGAACACCUGGAGCACAGAGGAGGAAACGGCCACUUUGGCCACGCUGGUCUGCCACAAAGAAAACUGAUUUUAAGAUAAGGUUGUUUCAGUCAGGGAAGGGAAAACUCCUUAAUGACCCAGUAGGUACAAGAGUCACAUUUUGGAUUUGAGAGGUCACGUUUUCUGCCACGAGCGAGGUGGGCAUUGGGGUGGCCCUUCCUCAAACCACGCGGGCAGAGCCACAUUUGUUUUUGUAAAGCUUCCUACACAUACAGUGGUGGCUGAGACCCAUUUCCAGCCUGUCCCCUUUCACGGCACAGGGAGAACUCACCGAGGGGCUGCCGCUGGCGUUGAGGAGGAAGUUGGCGGUGUGGGCAGCGGCGGGCGGCUGGUUGGGGAUCGGGCGGUGGCCCAGCGCCAUGCCCACGAUCGCAGUCAUGUGAGUCUCCGUGCCAAAGACAUGGAUGGGGAUGCCAGUGGUCUUCCCUGUGGAGACAUACAGCAGUAGUCAGCCUUGGGGGGGGGGGGGGGGGAAAGGAACAAGGUGAGCUUCUGCCAAAGGGAAACAUUUAACCUUGAGAAGGCUCAGCAGAGAGCAGGUGGAAGAAAUAAGAUGCAAGAACAAAACUUGAGGAAAAGCUUGGUCCUUACCAACUUCUCCCAUGACACGUAACCCUUCCUGGUAGUUCGGGCCUCCUCUUCGUACAAAGAUCUUCACCUCAUGCUCCUUCAGAGGGCCCUGGAAAUCCUUAAUCGCUCUCACAAUGCCCUACAAGAAAUACACAGGACAGGUGACCUUUAUCCUGUCCCAUCAUCUCAGGAAGUCCUGGAAGAGUUGGACUGUCAGCUUCAGCCCAACAGGGAACUGGGAAGAAAGGCCUGGGGCUGACAAGUGGGUGUUUGCUGGUGCUUCUGACUGGUCACUUACUUUAAAGGUGGCUGCUACAUUGGUGAAGUUUGCAAUGCUGCCUCCAAUGAUCAGGAUCUUCCCUGAGGGAAGAAAAACAUGUGUAAAUAGAACUGUUUUAAGAGCAGCAUACUCCAAGAUCAUGAAGCAAUUUAGGACAAAGUGAAACAAAGCUGCAGUGCAGACUAGCCAGUUGUUCAUAGUUGUGUUUAGUAGAGCCUGGAAGAUAAGAGCUUUGUAACAAGCAAGAAUGUUCGAUAAGAAUCUCUCAGGCUCCACAGAAAACCACAAGUCCUGCCUCUGAAGGAAGAGCUGACAAAAAUCCAUUCCUGCUUCCCUCUGAAGGCAGCAGUACAUUGAGAGCUCUGCCAGGGAGGGCUAAGCAGAGGAACAGCCCCCAUUUGUUCAGGUUUUUCCUGAACUUCAUAUGAACUUCCUGCAGCUUCACAGCUUUGGAAUUGCAGCAUCUCCCUCACCUUCUGGGUGCUUCUCUCGGGUCAUGAGGGAGAGGAUGGUCUUGGCGUAGUCGUAGGUCUGCUGCUCACUGGGGGCUCCCGAGUACUCCCCGUAGUUUGCCAGUUCAUUCACACCCCCCAGGUCACAAAUGGUGUCACUAUAAAAGUUAUUUAAGAGGUUAAUUAUAACUUGAGUCACUAUAAAGGACUUAAAGCAUUCCAAAGCCCUGGGAAAGCAGCACUCAGAACAGAGGGACUGUGCUGUCUGCUGAAAAUAAAGCUGCUCUCCCCUUGGUGCCAGUCAUAGUCUUGUCAUACUCCCCAGAUAUGAUGGGAACUCAGUGACCACUACAGCAAUAAUAUUGACCUCAACACCCUCCAGCCAGCUCAAUUCUUUCCAAGUUAAAAAGAAACUGUAUCUCAACCUCCCAGAAUUAAUUCCCUGGGGGACACUACGUUCCAGUUUGGUGAGAAAUCUGCACAGCACCUUCAUUCUAAAGGGAUUCUUAACGUCAGUAUGAGAAAAACAGCUUUAGAACAGUCUGCUUGCCACAGGUUGCAGAAUUAUGUUCUUCCAGCACUGUAAAUCCACCCCCUUCUCUGGAAACCUUGUUCCUGUUACCUGUACACCACCGAGGCACCACCACCAGCCACCAUGGUCCAGAUCCUGCCUUUGGGGUUCAGGAUCGUAAGCUUCAGGCUGGCCCCACUCUUGGCAUCCAGGUCAGCAAUGUAGGCUUCCUGCAGGGAGAGCAGCACAACCUCAACUUCCUUCUGCAUCUGCCUUUUCCAUCCCGAGGGUCAGUGCUAGGUGUCAGCUACAGCUGAGGGACAGCAGAGCUACAGACACCAUGUUUGUAAGAGACAGAGGCCCAGUGCCAUCUCUCCAUCCAGUCACAAAAUCUGAACAGAACUGAAGAGUCUGUUCUGACCUUGUCUGAGACUGAGGCCAGACAAAAUCUAAAAAUCAUCACACCCAUGGUGACCACUCUGGCUGUGCUGCAGCCAGGAAUGUAAUCACUGAGAGCUGCCAUUUGGCUCACCAUGGGGCUCCUGCAGCCCAGCGUGCCAGGCUGCUGAGCAGCACUUCAUUGGAGUUCAUUAACAUUCCCAGCAAAGACUGUGCCAUAACAACCUUCCCAGGCACUCGCAGAGGGAUGAUUCAGAGACAAAACCUGAACUAAUCCUUUUAAGAGCAAAUUGAGUUGAGUGUUGGCAUCCAGCAAGCUACAUGGAGAGGAACAGCUAAAUGGAUUUCCUGGCCACGGUACAAAAACCUUCCAACUGAAGCAUAAUUAUAAUUAUUGAAAAGAAAAAAAUCAGGACAGAAGUCCUUUCGGAGAGAGCAGAACAGUCACCUGAAAUAAGUAACAGAAUAACUAAGGAGAAAGCUCUAUUUCCAAUAGCUUCUGAAGCUGCUGGGAGCUGUCUGGAGCAGUGCUUGUGCAUCCAGCAGCACAGACCCAGGGAAUUUGGAGAGGAAGCAGACAUUGCUGGCUUUACAAAGGGCUGCCUGCAGGUCUCAUCUUGUCCUCACUUCUUGGGAAAACAGGUGCAUUAACAUCUUAACUUCUGACUUGAAAGCCUGAGAGAUGGUAAUUAUUUUCUCUGAAUUCACACUUGGAUGCAGCAUUUGCACACAGCUGCUGCUCUGCUCUCAGAACUGCCACUGACACACUGAGGGAACAACAGCUCCCACGAGGCUGCCAGUAA